GGGUCAAUGAUGAGACCUAAACUUUUCUUGAAUACAGAUUAUGACAUAAAAAAUCAUGCUCAGUAGGAUUAUGCUUAGGCCC